CCUACGGGGGGCUGCAGUCGAGAAUCAUUCACAAUGGGGGAAACCCUGAUGGUGCGACGCCGCGUGGGGGAAUGAAGGUCUUCGGAUUGUAAACCCCUGUCAUGUGGGAGCAAAUUAAAAAGAUAGUACCACAAGAGGAAGAGACGGCUAACUCUGUGCCAGCAGCCGCGGUACUACAGAGGUCUCAAGCGUUGUUCGGAAUCACUGGGCGUAAAGCGUGCGUAGGCUGUUUCGUAAGUCGGGUGUGAAAGGCGCGGGCUCAACCCGCGGACGGCACAUGAUACUGCGAGACUGGAGUAAUGGAGAGGGAGCCGGAAUUCUCGGUGUAGCAGUGAAAUGCGUAGAUAUCGAGAGGAACACUCGUGGCGAAGGCGGGUUCCUGGACAUUAACUGACGCUGAGGCACGAAGGCCAGGGGAGCGAAAGGGAUUAGAUACCCCUGUAGUC
rnacentral:rRNA from 1 species